rnacentral:rRNA from 1 species
GGUUAAGCGACUAAGCGUACACGGUGGAUGCCCUGGCAGUCAGAGGCGAUGAAGGACGUGCUAAUCUGCGAAAAGCGCCGGCGAGGUGAUAUGAACCCUUGACCCGGCGAUAUCCGAAUGGGGAAACCCAGUGCAAUCCGUUGCACUAUCGUUAACUGAAUACAUAGGUUAACGAGGCGAACCGGGGGAACUGAAACAUCUAAGUACCCCGAGGAAAAGAAAUCAACCGAGAUUCCCCCAGUAGCGGCGAGCGAACGGGGAGCAGCCCGGAGUCUGAAUCAGCUUGUGUGUUAGUGGAACGGUCUGGAAAGUCCGACGGUACAGGGUGAUAGUCCCGUACACGAAAAUGCACAUGCUGUGAACUCGAAGAGUAGGGCGGGACACGUGGUAUCCUGUCUGAAUAUGGGGGGACCAUCCUCCAAGGCUAAAUACUCCUGACUGACCGAUAGUGAACCAGUACCGUGAGGGAAAGGCGAAAAGAACCCCGGCGAGGGGAGUGAAAAAGAACCUGAAACCGUGUACGUACAAGCAGUGGGAGCCUCUUUAUGGGGUGACUGCGUACCUUUUGUAUAAUGGGUCAGCGACUUAUAUUCUGUAGCAAGGUUAACCGUAUAGGGGAGCCGAAGGGAAACCGAGUCUUAACUGGGCGUUAAGUUGCAGGGUAUAGACCCGAAACCCGGUGAUCUAGCCAUGGGCAGGUUGAAGGUUGGGUAACACUAACUGGAGGACCGAACCGACUAAUGUUGAAAAAUUAGCGGAUGACCUGUGGCUGGGGGUGAAAGGCCAAUCAAACCGGGAGAUAGCUGGUUCUCCCCGAAAGCUAUUUAGGUAGCGCCUCGUGAACUCAUCUUCGGGGGUAGAGCACUGUUUCGGCUAGGGGGCCAUCCCGGCUUACCAACCCGAUGCAAACUACGAAUACCGAAGAAUGUUAUCACGGGAGACACACGGCGGGUGCUAACGUCCGUCGUGAAGAGGGAAACAACCCAGACCGCCAGCUAAGGUCCCAAAGUCAUGGUUAAGUGGGAAACGAUGUGGGAAGGCACAGACAGCCAGGAUGUUGGCUUAGAAGCAGCCAUCAUUUAAAGAAAGCGUAAUAGCUCACUGGUCGAGUCGGCCUGCGCGGAAGAUGUAACGGGGCUAAACCAUGCACCGAAGCUGCGGCAGCGACACUAUGUGUUGUUGGGUAGGGGAGCGUUCUGUAAGCCGUUGAAGGUGUGCUGUGAGGCAUGCUGGAGGUAUCAGAAGUGCGAAUGCUGACAUAAGUAACGAUAAAGCGGGUGAAAAGCCCGCUCGCCGGAAGACCAAGGGUUCCUGUCCAACGUUAAUCGGGGCAGGGUGAGUCGACCCCUAAGGCGAGGCCGAAAGGCGUAGUCGAUGGGAAACAGGUUAAUAUUCCUGUACUUGGUGUUACUGCGAAGGGGGGACGGAGAAGGCUAUGUCAGCCGGGCGACGGUUGUCCCGGUUUAAGCAUGUAGGCGGAGGUUCCAGGUAAAUCCGGUACCUUAUUAACGCUGAGGUGUGAUGACGAGGCACUACGGUGCUGAAGUGAUAAAUGCCCUGCUUCCAGGAAAAGCCUCUAAGCAUCAGGUAACACGAAAUCGUACCCCAAACCGACACAGGUGGUCAGGUAGAGAAUACCAAGGCGCUUGAGAGAACUCGGGUGAAGGAACUAGGCAAAAUGGUGCCGUAACUUCGGGAGAAGGCACGCUGAUGUGUAGGUGAAGCCCCUGCGGGUGGAGCUGAAAUCAGUCGAAGAUACCAGCUGGCUGCAACUGUUUAUUAAAAACACAGCACUGUGCAAACACGAAAGUGGACGUAUACGGUGUGACGCCUGCCCGGUGCCGGAAGGUUAAUUGAUGGGGUUAGCGGCAACGCGAAGCUCUUGAUCGAAGCCCCGGUAAACGGCGGCCGUAACUAUAACGGUCCUAAGGUAGCGAAAUUCCUUGUCGGGUAAGUUCCGACCUGCACGAAUGGCGUAAUGAUGGCCAGGCUGUCUCCACCCGAGACUCAGUGAAAUUGAACUCGCUGUGAAGAUGCAGUGUACCCGCGGCAAGACGGAAAGACCCCGUGAACCUUUACUAUAGCUUGACACUGAACACUGGUCCUUGAUGUGUAGGAUAGGUGGGAGGCUUUGAAGCGUGGACGCCAGUCUGCGUGGAGCCAACCUUGAAAUACCACCCUUUAAUGGCUGGUGUUCUAACGUAGACCCGUAAUCCGGGUUGCGGACAGUGUCUGGUGGGUAGUUUGACUGGGGCGGUCUCCUCCCAAAGAGUAACGGAGGAGCACGAAGGUUGGCUAAUCCUGGUCGGACAUCAGGAGGUUAGUGCAAUGGCAUAAGCCAGCUUGACUGCGAGCGUGACGGCGCGAGCAGGUGCGAAAGCAGGUCAUAGUGAUCCGGUGGUUCUGAAUGGAAGGGCCAUCGCUCAACGGAUAAAAGGUACUCCGGGGAUAACAGGCUGAUACCGCCCAAGAGUUCAUAUCGACGGCGGUGUUUGGCACCUCGAUGUCGGCUCAUCACAUCCUGGGGCUGAAGUAGGUCCCAAGGGUAUGGCUGUUCGCCAUUUAAAGUGGUACGCGAGCUGGGUUUAGAACGUCGUGAGACAGUUCGGUCCCUAUCUGCCGUGGGCGCUGGAGAAUUGAGGGGGGCUGCUCCUAGUACGAGAGGACCGGAGUGGACGCAUCACUGGUGUUCGGGUUGUCAUGCCAAUGGCACUGCCCGGUAGCUAAAUGCGGAAGAGAUAAGUGCUGAAAGCAUCUAAGCACGAAACUUGCCCCGAGAUGAGUUCUCCCUGAGACUUUAAGUCUCCUGAAGGAACGUUGAAGACGACGACGUUGAUAGGUCGGGUGUGUAAGCGCAGCGAUGCGUUGAGCUAACCGAUACUAAUGAACCGUGAGGCUUAACCUU